GACGAACCGUCCAAACGUUAUUCGGAAUCACUGGGCUUACAGAGUUCGUAGGCGGUCUGGAAAGUUGGGUGUGAAAUCCCUCGGCCCAACCGAGGAACUGCGCCCAGUACUGCGUUGCUUGAGGAUCCAAGGGGUGCAUGGAAUUCCCGGUGGAGCGGUGAAAUGCGUUGAUAUCGGGAGGAACUCCGGCGGCGAAAGCGGUGCACUGGUGGAUUACUGACGCUGAGGUGCGAAAGCCAGGGGAGCAAACGGG
rnacentral:rRNA from 1 species